rnacentral:rRNA from 1 species
UGGGGAAUAUUGCACAAUGGGCGCAAGCCUGAUGCAGCCAUGCCGCGUGUAUGAAGAAGGCCUUCGGGUUGUAAAGUACUUUCAGUCGGGAGGAAGGCGUUAAGGUUAAUAACCUUGGCGAUUGACGUUACCCGCAGAAGAAGCACCGGCUAACUCCGUGCCAGCAGCCGCGGUAAUACGGAGGGUGCAAGCGUUAAUCGGAAUUACUGGGCGUAAAGCGCACGCAGGCGGUUGAUUGAGUCAGAUGUGAAAUCCCCGGGCUUAACCCGGGAAUUGCAUCUGAUACUGGUCAGCUAGAGUCUUGUAGAGGGGGGUAGAAUUCCAUGUGUAGCGGUGAAAUGCGUAGAGAUGUGGAGGAAUACCGGUGGCGAAGGCGGCCCCCUGGACAAAGACUGACGCUCAGGUGCGAAAGCGUGGGGAGCAAACAGG